rnacentral:lncRNA from 10 species
CCUCCAUGUGUGGACACAGCAAGAUGACCAUCUGCAAUUCAGAAAAGAUUUGCUGACUUCUGCCCUAGGAUACUGUCAUGGUCUGCAUGUUUGAAACUGGGUCACCACUACAUCUGGGCUCACCACUACAUCUGGAAAAAGGAACAUGGAAAAGGCACUCUCAUUGGUGCCAGACCUAGAAACAACACAUGUCACUUCUGUUCCUUUUAACCAGAAGGAAACUUUAGUCAUUGGCAAUGCAACACCAAGGGAACCUGUGAAAUACAAUUGAGUCAACA